rnacentral:rRNA from 1 species
CCCUUAGAUGUUCUCGGCCGCACACGCGCUACACUGAAAGAGGUAACGUGUUUGCCUGAUUCGAAAGAAUUGGGUAACCCCCUAAUCUCUUUCGUGCUGGGGAUUGAGGUUUGCAAUUAUCCUUCAUGAACGAGGAAUUCCCAGUAAGUGCGAGUCAUUAUCUCGCGCUGACUACGUCCCUGCCCUUUGUACACACCGCCCGUCGCUACUACCGAUUGAAUGAUUUAGUGAGGACUUCGGACUGAGUCCAAUGCGGCUUUCGGGCUGCGUUGGUAUUUCGGAAAGAUGUCCAAACUGUAUCAUUUAGAGGAAGUAAAANUCGUANCA